rnacentral:tRNA from 1 species
CGCGGGGUGGGGAGUCCGGUAGCUCGUCAGGCUCAUAACCUGAAGGCCGCAUGUUCAAAUCCUGCCCCCGCAGCCA